rnacentral:rRNA from 1 species
GACGAACGCUGGCGGCGUGCCUAAUACAUGCAAGUCGAGCGGACGAAUCGAAAGCUUGCUUUUGAUUCGUUAGCGGCGGACGGGUGAGUAACACGUGGGCAACCUGCCCUGUAGACGGGGAUAACACCGAGAAAUCGGUGCUAAUACCGGAUAACACGAAAUGUCGCAUGACGUUUCGUUGAAAGACGGCGCAAGCUGUCGCUACAGGAUGGGCCCGCGGCGCAUUAGCUAGUUGGUGAGGUAACGGCUAACCAAGGCGACGAUGCGUAGCCGACCUGAGAGGGUGAUCGGCCACACUGGGACUGAGACACGGCCCAGACUCCUACGGGAGGCAGCAGUAGGGAAUCUUCCGCAAUGGACGAAAGUCUGACGGAGCAACGCCGCGUGAGCGAAGAAGGCCUUCGGGUCGUAAAGCUCUGUUGUUAGGGAAGAACAAGUAACGCAGUAACUGGCGUUACCGUGACGGUACCUAACGAGAAAGCCACGGCUAACUACGUG